rnacentral:rRNA from 1 species
AGUGAACGCUGGCGGUAGGCCUAACACAUGCAAGUCGAACGGCAGCACAGGAGAGCUUGCUCUCUGGGUGGCGAGUGGCGGACGGGUGAGGAAUACAUCGGAAUCUACUCUGUCGUGGGGGAUAACGUAGGGAAACUUACGCUAAUACCGCAUACGACCUACGGGUGAAAGCAGGGGAUCUUCGGACCUCGCGCGAUUGAAUGAGCCGAUGUCGGAUUAGCUAGUUGGCGGGGUAAAGGCCCACCAAGGCGACGAUCCGUAGCUGGUCUGAGAGGAUGUUCAGCCACACUGGAACUGAGACACGGUCCAGACUCCUACGGGAGGCAGCAGUGGGGAAUAUUGGACAAUGGGCGCAAGCCUGAUCCAGCCAUACCGCGUGGGUGAAGAAGGCCUUCGGGUUGUAAAGCCCUUUUGUUGGGAAAGAAAUCCAGCUGGCUAAUACCCGGUUGGGAUGACGGUACCCAAAGAAUAAGCACCGGCUAACUUCGUGCCAGCAGCCGCCGUAA